GGAAUACUUAUAAUUCUAGCUGUCAUUUGGCAACAAGAAAGUAGACAUGCAGACAACAAAGCAUAUGUACAAGAUCAACAAUAAAACAUAAGUCAGUGCUGAAAGUAGACAUAGAAAAAGAAAUAGUCUGAAGAAAACAAGUUUCGAUGUAACUUGUAAUAUACUUGGUACAAAAACAUAAACUAUUCCAAAGAUAGAAAUGAAGAAAGUUUCUUAUAUUUAGCAGCAAUUAUAAAACAAAUGCGUUUAAUAGCAGUGCAGCUCCUAUGUCCUUUUCUCUAUCCCAAGUAUCAGAAAUACAGUAAUAGUCAAUUUCUCAUUUUUCAAUAAAAUGAAUAACAAUACCACGAAGAGGGAAUAGGAGUUUUCUAUAAGAAUCUACACAAAGGUAAAGCAUUAACAGUGUUCCAAAAGAUAAAAUAAAAGCUCUACCAACUUCUCAAGCAAUUUCAGCAGUAAUAUAUCUGAAAAAAUUAAAACUUUUAUAAGGAGGGACCAAAAUCGGCACAAAUGUGUUGCGUAUAGAAGGAGAAAAUAUAGAAAAAAGGAAAGGAAUAUGUAAUUGAGCUAGUAAAGCAGAUCAGAAUUGUGGAGGAAAAGUUUCUUAGGUCUGUUGAGUAGUUGUUAAUUGUUUUGAAGGGAAAC
rnacentral:misc_RNA from 1 species